UACGGAGGGUGCAAGCGUUAUCCGGAUUCACUGGGUUUAAAGGGUGCGUAGGCGGGCUGGUAAGUCAGUGGUGAAAUCUCCAGGCUUAACUUGGAAACUGCCAUUGAUACUAUCAGUCUUGAAUACUGUGGAGGUCAGCGGAAUAUGUCAUGUAGCGGUGAAAUGCUUAGAUAUGACAUAGAACACCAAUUGCGAAGGCAGCUGGCUACACGAAUAUUGACACUGAUGCACGAAAGCGUGGGGAUCAAACAGG
rnacentral:rRNA from 1 species